rnacentral:rRNA from 1 species
AUGAACGCUGGCGGCGUGCCUAAUACAUGCACGUCGAGCGAACAGACGAGGAGCUUGCUCCUCUGACGUUAGCGGCGGACGGGUGAGUAACACGUGGAUAACCUACCUAUAAGACUGGGAUAACUUCGGGAAACCGGAGCUAAUACCGGAUAAUAUAUUGAACCGCAUGGUUCAAUAGUGAAAGACGGUUUUGCUGUCACUUAUAGAUGGAUCCGCGCCGCAUUAGCUAGUUGGUAAGGUAACGGCUUACCAAGGCAACGAUGCGUAGCCGACCUGAGAGGGUGAUCGGCCACACUGGAACUGAGACACGGUCCAGACUCCUACGGGAGGCAGCAGUAGGGAAUCUUCCGUAAUGGGCGAAAGCCUGACGGAGCAACGCCGCGUGAGUGAUGAAGGUCUUCGGAUCGUAAAACUCUGUUAUUAGGGAAGAACAAAUGUGUAAGUAACUAUGCACGUCUUGACGGUACCUAAUCAGAAAGCCACGGCUAACUACGUG